rnacentral:rRNA from 1 species
AGAGUUUGAUCCUGGCUCAGGACGAACGCUGGCGGCACGCUUAACACAUGCAAGUCGAACGAGAGAAGAGGAGCUUGCUUUUCUGAUCUAGUGGCGGACGGGUGAGUAACACGUGAGCAAUCUGCCUUUCAGAGGGGGAUACCGAUUGGAAACGAUCGUUAAUACCGCAUAACAUAAUUGAACCGCAUGAUUUGAUUAUCAAAGAUUUAUCGCUGAAAGAUGAGCUCGCGUCUGAUUAGCUAGUUGGUAAGGUAACGGCUUACCAAGGCGACGAUCAGUAGCCGGACUGAGAGGUUGAUCGGCCACAUUGGGACUGAGACACGGCCCAGACUCCUACGGGAGGCAGCAGUGGGGAAUAUUGCACAAUGGAGGAAACUCUGAUGCAGCGAUGCCGCGUGAGGGAAGAAGGUUUUAGGAUUGUAAACCUCUGUCUUCAGGGACGAAAAAAGACGGUACCUGAGGAGGAAGCUCCGGCUAACUACGUGCCAGCAGCCGCGGUAAUACGUAGGGAGCGAGCGUUGUCCGGAAUUACUGGGUGUAAAGGGAGCGUAGGCGGGAUCGCAAGUCAGAUGUGAAAACUAUGGGCUUAACCCAUAAACUGCAUUUGAAACUGUGGUUCUUGAGUGAAGUAGAGGUAAGCGGAAUUCCUAGUGUAGCGGUGAAAUGCGUAGAUAUUAGGAGGAACAUCAGUGGCGAAGGCGGCUUACUGGGCUUUAACUGACGCUGAGGCUCGAAAGCGUGGGGAGCAAACAGGAUUAGAUACCCUGGUAGUCCACGCCGUAAACGAUGAUUACUAGGUGUGGGGGGACUGACCCCUUCCGUGCCGCAGCAAACGCAAUAAGUAAUCCACCUGGGGAGUACGACCGCAAGGUUGAAACUCAAAGGAAUUGACGGGGGCCCGCACAAGCAGUGGAGUAUGUGGAUUAAUUCGAAGCAACGCGAAGAACCUUACCAGGUCUUGACAUCGUAUGCAUAGCUCAGAGAUGAGUGAAAUCUCUUCGGAGACAUAUAGACAGGUGGUGCAUGGUUGUCGUCAGCUCGUGUCGUGAGAUGUUGGUUAAGUCCCGCAACGAGCGCAACCCUUACUGUUAGUUGCUACGCAAGAGCACUCUAGCAGGACUGCCGUUGACAAAACGGAGGAAGGUGGGGAUGACGUCAAAUCAUCAUGCCCCUUAUGACCUGGGCCUCACACGUACUACAAUGGCUGUCAACAGAGGGAAGCAAAGCCGCGAGGUGGAGCGAACCCCUAAAAGCAGUCUUAGUUCGGAUUGUAGGCUGCAACCCGCCUACAUGAAGUCGGAAUUGCUAGUAAUCGCAGAUCAGCAUGCUGCGGUAAAUACGUUCCCGGGCCCUGUACACACCGCCCGUCACGCCAUGGGAGUCGGUAACACCCGAAGCCUGUAGUCUAACCGCAAGGAGGACGCAGUCGAAGGUGGGAUUGAUGACUGGGGUGAAGUC